GGAGUUUGGGCCGUGUCUCAGUCCCAAUGUGGCCGUUCACCCUCUCAGGCCGGCUAUUGAUCGUCGCUUUGGUAGGCCUCUACCCCACCAACUAGCUAAUCAAACGCGGGUCCAUCUACAAGCGAUAAAUCUUUUCUCACUGUAUCAUGCGAUACUGUAAGCUUAUAUUGUAUUAGCAACAAUUUCUCGCUGUUAUCCAAUUCUUGUAGGUAGGUUACCCACGCGUUACUCACCCAUCCGCCACUAGAAUUCUUACUGCUUUGACCGAAGUCUCCACUGUAAGGUUCCCGUUCGACUUGCAUGUGUUAGGCACGCCGCCAGCGUUCAUC
rnacentral:rRNA from 1 species